GUGAGUAUAGUUCAGCUGGUCAGAAUGUCGGAUUGUGGUUCCGAAGGUCGUGGGUUCGAACCCCACUACUCACC
rnacentral:tRNA from 2 species